CAGUCGCCGCGGUAAAACGAAGGGUGCAAGCGUUAAUCGGAAUUACUGGGCGUAAAGCGUGCGUAGGCGGUUUGUUAAGUCUGCUGUGAAAUCCCCGGGCUCAACCUGGGAAUGGCAGUGGAUACUGGCAAGCUAGAGUGUGUCAGAGGAUGGUGGAAUUCCCGGUGUAGCGGUGAAAUGCGUAGAGAUCGGGAGGAACAUCAGUGGCGAAGGCGGCCAUCUGGGACAACACUGACGCUGAGGCACGAAAGCGUGGGGAGCAAACAGGAUUAGAUACCCCAGUAGUCCCUGUCUCUUAUAC
rnacentral:rRNA from 1 species